GACGAACGCUGGCGGCGCGCCUAACACAUGCAAGUCGAACGGAGCUGAGAGAAGCUUGCUUUUCUUAGCUUAGUGGCGAACGGGUGAGUAACGCGUGGGUAACCUGCCCUGGAGUGGGGGACAACAGUUGGAAACGACUGCUAAUACCGCAUAAGCCCACGAUCCGGCAUCGGAUUGAGGGAAAAGGAUUUAUUCGCUUCAGGAUGGACUCGCGUCCAAUUAGCUAGUUGGUGAGGUAACGGCCCACCAAGGCGACGAUUGGUAGCCGGACUGAGAGGUUGAACGGCCACAUUGGGACUGAGACACGGCCCAGACUCCUACGGGAGGCAGCAGUGGGGGAUAUUGCACAAUGGGGGAAACCCUGAUGCAGCGACGCCGCGUGGAGGAAGAAGGUUUUCGGAUUGUAAACUCCUGUCGUUAGGGACGAUAAUGACGGUACCUAACAAGAAAGCACCGGCUAACUACGUG
rnacentral:rRNA from 1 species